CUGGAUUUUAAGUGCACAAAUUUCAGUUUAUACCUAGCCAUGAAAAAAAGCACCCCCAGCUAAAAAUACCAUAAGAACACUACACCCCUAGAUUUGUUCAUGUGCAUUUAUUUCAUAUCUCACUUGGAACUUUAGACAUAUCAAUUUAUCUUGGCCAAAGAGAAACUUUGGGAGAACAGUGGACACGUAUUCUUUUCAGUUCUAUGAAAUAGCAGUCCGUCUAAUAUAUCAGCAAUUAUGAACUUUUGCUGAUUGAUCUCAGGACGAGAUUCAGUACUGACGUACUGUAGCUGUUAUAUUUGGGUAACCAUACCAUAAAUAGCUUAUUUUCGAUCUAGACGUGCAGUUUCAAUCUAGAAAAAUAUUUCCAGUCUAUAUACUAAUAACAUAUAGGCAGCAAUUGUCUAACAUAUGACAAAGCACAUACUAUGCUGAACAUGAACAAUAAUAUACCAUGAUGGUUUUAAUGAUAUACAUCCUAUGCUGAACAUGAACAAGACAGAAAAUAAUAAAGGAUUGUCUCCAAAGUAAUUACGGACUGUUUCCAAUGAUUUUGGAUUUCAAGUAAUAAAGGAUAUAAGGUUACAAUUCAUCACCUGAAAAAACAAUCAUAGUAAUGUCUUCUCCAACUGACCACACCCUGGUGCAAUUGUUGAAAGUGAAUACAUCAUCGAGAGCCUUGCAAGCAGAUUUAUCUACAACAGGAAACACACAAUCAGGACAUAUCAGAUAUUCCCAAUCACCAUCUGAAAUGUUUAAUGUUUACUGCCCCUUCAAACGUCAGCUUAUCUACCAAAUUUCUGUACAUUUGAUUGAUAAGUUUUAAGUACAGGAACGACAUAUCCAGCUAUAAUUACAGUAGGGAGCGACACUAACUAAACCUCUUGACAUGCUAAUUUAAAAUUCAAGUAUAUUU
rnacentral:rRNA from 1 species